GAUGAACGCUGGCGGCGUGCCUAAUACAUGCAAGUCGAGCGAACAGACGAGGAGCUUGCUCCUCUGACGUUAGCGGCGGACGGGUGAGUAACACGUGGAUAACCUACCUAUAAGACUGGGAUAACUUCGGGAAACCGGAGCUAAUACCGGAUAAUAUAUUGAACCGCAUGGUUCAAUAGUGAAAGACGGUUUUGCUGUCACUUAUAGAUGGAUCCGCGCCGCAUUAGCUAGUUUGUAAGGUAAAGGCUUACCAAGGCAACGAUGCGUAGCCGACCUGAGAGGGUGAUCGGCCACACUGGAACUGAGACACGGUCCAGACGCCUACGGGAGGCAGCAGUAGGGAAUCUUCCGCAAUGGGCGAAAGCCUGACGGAGCAGCGCCGCGUGAGUGAUGAAGGUCUUCGGAUCGUAAAACUCUGUUAUUAGGGAAGAACAAAUUUGUAAGUAACUAUGCACGUCUUGACGGUACCUAAUCAGAAAGCCACGGCUAACUACGUG
rnacentral:rRNA from 1 species